AGCGAGGCGCAUCUUAGAAGCACCAUCUCCUCGGGCUCUUUUCCUGCUCUGCCUGGAUUGGGCUCAUUUACUAAAAAUUAGUUGGGAAUGAAAAAAGCCCCUAGUUUAUUAGCGUGCUAUUAUUCCCCUCCCACCAUGCCCCUGCAGCAUGAUGGAUUGCCUGAAUCUCGCUGGUUCGGGGGAAGAUGCAAUCUCGUUCGUUCCCAGUAUGUGUCUGCGUGGGCCGCCACAGCGCCUC
rnacentral:lncRNA from 1 species